rnacentral:tRNA from 1 species
GCCUGCUUGCCAUAGUGAUUUAAGUAUUAGACUAGGAUUCUGGAGACCAAGGUUCAAAUCCUGGCUCAGCCA